rnacentral:tRNA from 1 species
GCCCAGGUGUUGGAACUGGCAGACAAGCGAGACUUAAAAUCUUGUGGUGGCAACACCGUGCGGGUUCAACUCCCGCCCUGGGCA